rnacentral:rRNA from 1 species
AGCGAACGCUGGCGGCAGGCCUAAUACAUGCAAGUCGAGCGGCCGUAGCAAUACGGCAGCGUCAGACGGGAGAGUAACACGUGGGAACGUACCUUUCGGUUCGGAACAACCCAGGGAAACUUGGGCUAAUACCGGAUACGUCCGUAAGGAGAAAGAUUUAUCGCCGAAAGAUCGGCCCGCGUCUGAUUAGCUUGUUGGUGAGGUAACGGCUCACCAAGGCGACGAUCAGUAGCUGGUCUGAGAGGAUGAUCAGCCUCACUGGGACUGAGACACGGCCCAGACUCCUACGGGGGGCAGCAGUAGGGAAUAUUGGACAAUGGGCGCAAGCCUGAUCCGGCCAUGCCGCGUGAGUGAUGAAGGCCCUAGGGUUGUAAAGCUCUUUCGGCGGGGAAGAUAAUGACGGUACCCGCAGAAGAAGCCCCGGCUAACUUCGUGCCAGCCGCCGCGGUAA